UACGUAGGGGGCUAGCGUUGUCCGGAUUUAUUGGGCGUAAAGAGCGUGUAGGCGGCCAGGUAGGUCUGGUGUGAAAUCUCCUGGCUCAACUGGGAGGGUGCGCCGGAAACUGGAGUGCUUGAGCGUGGGAGAGGAAAGCGGAAUUCCUGGUGUAGCGGUGAAAUGCGUAGAUAUCAGGAGGAACACCGAUGGCGAAGGCAGCUCGCUGGGACGGUACUGACGCUGAGACGCGAAAGCGUGGGGAGCAAACAGG
rnacentral:rRNA from 1 species